rnacentral:hammerhead_ribozyme from 1 species
CCACUGCUGAGGAGUCCCACGAUAGGACGAAACGGCCGUUCAGUGC